ACGAUGCUGAAUACCCAGAAACAAGAGCACCAGUACCAAGGCGAAAAACCAAAGCAAGAGAAGCACCCAAUAUGUCCAAAAUCUUAUCACCUCUCGGUGUAAAUGGCUUAGGUUUCGGCGGUUUGAAGUUCGGCGGCGGCGAAAAUGAAGAAUUAGGUUCCGCUUGAGUGCUCACAGAAGUGGAACCAUUGGAACUGUCUGAAGAUUGCGCCAUUGACUUAACAAACAAAACUCUGUUGUUUCUAGAGAGUUUGUGAGAAGAAACUGGUCGGAAAAUUGGCGCCG
rnacentral:misc_RNA from 1 species